GGGUCAGUAGGUUGGUCGUGCCACCGGUACGUACUGGUCUCACUGAUUCCUCCUUCCUGAAGAACAGUAAUGCCAUUAAUUUGGUGUUGCGGUGAAACUGGACUGUUACUUUGAAAAAAUUAGAGUGUUUAAAGCAAGCUAACGCUUGAAUACAUUAGCAUGGAAUAAUGAAAUAGGACGAUCGAUCCUAUUUUGUUGGUUUCUAGGAUUGACGUA
rnacentral:rRNA from 1 species